rnacentral:rRNA from 1 species
ACGGGAGGCAGCAGUGAGGAAUAUUGGUCAAUGGGCGGAAGCCUGAACCAGCCAAGUCGCGUGAGGGAAGACGGCCCUACGGGUUGUAAACCUCUUCUGCGCGGGGGUAAAGUCGGGGACGGGUCCCCGAUUGCAAGUACCGCGCGAAAAAGGAUCGGCUAACUCCGUGCCAGCAGCCGCGGUAAUACGGAGGAUCCGAGUGUUAUCCGGAUUUAUUGGGUUUAAAGGGUGCGCAGGCGGGAUGUCAAGUCAGUGGUGAAAUGGUGCGGCUCAACCGUAGCAUUGCCGUUGAAACUGGCGUCCUUGAGUGCGAAUGAGGUACGCGGAACGUGUCAUGUAGCGGUGAAAUGCUUAGAUAUGUCACAGAACCCCGAUUGCGAAGGCAGCUUACCAGCAUACAACUGACGCUGAGGCACGAAAGCGUGGGUAUCAAACAGGAUUAGAUACCCUGGUA